UACGUAGGGGCAAGCGUUAUCCGGAAUCAUUGGGCGUAAAGCGCGUGUAGGCGGUUCCGUAAGUCCGCUCUGAAAGCCCAGGGCUCAACCCUGGGAGGCGGGUGGAUACUACGGAACUGGAGUACGGAAGAGGAGAUUGGAAUUCCUGGUGUAGCGGUGAAAUGCGCAGAGUAUCAGGAGGAACACCAACAGCGAAGGCAGAUCUCUGGGACGUUACUGACGCUGAGACGCGAAAGCGUGGGGAGCGAACAGG
rnacentral:rRNA from 1 species